GAUGAACGCUGGCGGCGUGCAUAACACAUUCAAGUCGAACGGUGACGGGGCUUCGGCCCCUGAUCAGUGGCGGACGGGUGAGUAACGCGUGAGUAACCUGCCUUACAUUGGGGGGUAACAACCGGAAACAGUUGCUAAUACCGCAUAAUGCAUACGGAUCGCAUGGUCUGUAUGCCAAAGAUUUAUCGAUGUAAGAUGGACUCGCGUCCGAUUAGGUAGUUGGUGGGGCAACGGCCCACCAAGCCUGCGAUCGGUAGCCGAACUGAGAGGUUGAACGGCCACAUUGGAACUGAGAUACGGUCCAGACUCCUACGGGAGGCAGCAGUGGGGAAUAUUGCACAAUGGGGGAAACCCUGAUGCAGCGACGCCGCGUGAGCGAUGAAGUAUUUCGGUAUGUAAAGCUCUAUCAGCAGGGAAGAAAAUGACGGUACCUGACUAAGAAGCACCGGCUAAAUACGUG
rnacentral:rRNA from 1 species